UACAGAGGUCUCAAGCGUUGUUCGGAUUCAUUGGGCGUAAAGGGUGCGUAGGCGGCGCGGUAAGUCGGGUGUGAAAUCUUGGAGCUUAACUCCGAAACUGCAUUCGAUACUGCCGUGCUUGAGGACUGGAGAGGAGACUGGAAUUUACGGUGUAGCGGUGAAAUUCGUAGAUAUCAGGAGGAACACCGGUGGCGAAGGCGGGUCUCUGGGCCGAUACUGACGCUGAGGAGCGAAAGCGUGGGGGAGCGAACAGG
rnacentral:rRNA from 1 species